rnacentral:snRNA from 1 species
AUGCUCACUUUGGCAGCAGAUAUACUAAAAUUGAAACAAUACAGAGAAGAUUAGCAUGGCCCUUGCACAAGGAUGACACGCAAAUAUGUGAAGUGUUCCAAAAACAA